UUAAGAUACCGAUGAUGAGGAUGAUGAUGAGUAUGACCACGAUGAUAGCGAAGAUGAAGGAGAAAGAAUGGACCUGGAGUACGUACACUCAUCCACCCGAUGCUUUCUUUCACUAAUUCUUGACAUGCUCCAUUUUAGAUCCCAGCUCAGACAUUUCUUCUUGCUUUCUCAGCUAGAGUCUGUUGAAAUAUGUUGCCCGCCUCCCUUCAUCAGUUUGGACUUUUGGAUGAGUUGGCUGGAGCAUGAAUUCAACAUGGUAAUCAGAGCAUCUUCCUCUUAGAUCGAAGAUCGCAUCUAGCUACCUUCCCCGCGGCCGAGAUCAUGUCUUCCUCCGCAGCCCUAUCGUCCACCAUGAGCGCGCUUUCCAGCACCACGUCCUCCACCUUCGCAUCAUCAUCCAGCAGCAGCUCUGUUCCUCUCGGACCGCCACCGCAGGAGAAGCUAUCAAGGGGAAACUUCCUUCUAUGGAAGGCCGUCGUGCUCCCGCAGAUCAGAGGCGCACAGAUGGAGCACCACCUGAAGAAGUCAUGUACCUAGGAUAGGGUCAUAGACCUGAUCAAAGUACCCUACCCAAGGACACCCUCAGAAGAAACUACCUUCCAGUCGACCAAGAGAGACUUCACUCGACGGACUCGAAGGACUCGACCACGAAGACUCACUCGACCACCAGAGGAUCAAGAACCACUCUGCAGCGUAACAGUCUGUAAUUAAGUAGUCUUUAUGGCAUUUAGGACACUUUAUGUAAGGCGUUACCAGUAAUGCCUAGACUUAAUUUACUUUAAACCCUGCAUUACUGAGGGCCGGAGGGGUCUGGCAUACACUAUAUAAACCACCCCCCUCCUCAGUGUCAAGGGUUCGCACCCCUGUAAUCCAGACACAUAUAAUCCACUCGACCGCCUCCGGGCUCCGAG
rnacentral:lncRNA from 1 species